GUGGAGGUUGGCCAUGUGUGGCCAAAUUCUGACCCAGAAGCAGGUCGUCUACAAAUGGUUUAGCACCAGGUUCCCCACGAACGUGUGUUGCAUGACGGGCAAGGAGGCCACCUUUCCAGCCACACCCUUCCCAGGAGGAAGGGCACUCUGCACCGGACCCAGUCCUAGCACAUGGUGGGGCACACCCCACCAAGGGUGAGGCAGCCCACCAGCGGGGGUGGGGAACCGGCUAGCCAAGGCCAGCCAAGGCCAGCCAAGGCCAACCAAGGCUCCACGGUGCUGCUGUAUCCUUCCGCCUGGGCAGGAUUCUGACUUAGAGGCGUUCAGUCACAAUCCAACAGACCGUAGCUUCACCCCAUUGGCUCCUCAACCAAGCACAUGUCUGAACUUGCCAUUCCUCUCAUGCUGAGCAGGAUUACCAUUGCAACAACACACAUCACGGAGGGUAAAACUAACCUGUCUCACUACGAUCUAAAUCCAGCUCACAUGCCCUAUUAGUGGGUGAACAAUCCAAUGCUUGGUGAAUUCUACUUCACAAUGAUAGGAAGAACCAACAUUACAGGAUCAAAAAACAUCCCUAUGAAUGCUUGGCCGCAACGAACCAGUUAUCCCCUGUGGUAACUUCUGAUACCUCCUGCUUAAAAACGUCAGAAUGAUCGUCAAAGCCCAGCUUUCAGUCUGUAUUCGCACUGAAAAUCACGAUCAAGCGAGCUUUUGCCCUUCUGCUCCACAAGAGGUUUCUGUCCUCCCUGAGCUCUCCUUAGGACACCUGCAUUACCGUUUGACAGGUGUACUAUCCCAAACUCCCCACCUGGCACUGUCCUCGGGACGGGUCAACACCCGGCCGGCGUGCAGCUGGGCACUUGGCGCCAGAAGGGAGGGCCCCUAGGGGCUCACCCCCUGCCUCACCAGGUCAGUGAAAAAACGAUCAGAGUAGUAGUAUUCCAUGGGCAGCCCACAGGACCCCACCCCACCCCCUCACGGGGAUAGGGGGGCACUGGGGACCUCCCACUUAUUCUACACCUCUCAUGUCUCUUCACCAUGCCAGACUACAGUCAAGCUCAACAGGUUCUUCUUUCCCCACUGAUUCCACCAACCCCAUUCCCUUGGCUGUGGUUUCACUGGAUAGUAAGUAGGUAGGGACAGUGGGAAUCUCAUUCAUCCAUUCACGCACGUCACUAGUUAGAUGACGAGGCAUUUGGCUACCUUAAGAGAGCCAUAGUUACUUCCGCCAUUUACCCAUACUUCAUUGAAUUUCUUCAUUUUGACAUUCAGAGCACUGGGCAGAAAUCACUUUGCAACACCCCCCGAGGGCCUUCGCGAUGCUUUGUUUAAACAGUUGGAUUCCCCUGGUGCACACAGUUCUAUAAGUCGGCUGCUAAGCACCGGCGGAGGUGCUGCAUGGAACCGUGGCCCC
rnacentral:lncRNA from 1 species